rnacentral:rRNA from 1 species
UACGGAGGGUGCGAGCGUUGUCCGGAAUCAUUGGGCGAAAGGGCGCGUAGGUGGCCCGGUCAGUCUUUGGUGAAAGCGCGGGGCUCAACCCUGCGUCGGCCAGGGAUACUGCCGCGGCUCGAGCACUGUAGAGGCAGGUGGAAUUCCGGGUGUAGCGGUGGAAUGCGUAGAGAUCCGGAAGAACACCGGUGGCGAAGGCGGCCUCUGG